GUGAACAUAGUUUAUAAAAACACUAGCUUGUGAUUCUAGAGAAGGGGGUUAAUCACCCCCUGUUCACC
rnacentral:tRNA from 1 species